rnacentral:pre_miRNA from 1 species
AAAAUAUCUCCUUGUGUUCAAUCAAUAAAAAUGAUAAUGACCUAGGUCAAACCCCAGCACAAACAGAUGGUUGAUAUAGUAGGGAGAUAUGGCU